UACGGAGGGUGCGAGCGUUGUCCGGAAUCAUUGGGCGUAAAGGGCGCGUAGGUGGCGCGGUAAGCGUGCGGUGAAAGCCUGGGGCUCAACCCCGGGUCGGCCGUGCGAACUGCUGGGCUUGAGCGCUGUAGAGGCAGGCGGAAUUCCGGGUGUAGCGGUGGAAUGCGUAGAGAUCCGGAAGAACACCGGUGGCGAAGGCGGCCUGCUGGGCAGUUGCUGACACUGAGGCGCGACAGCGUGGGGAGCAAACAGG
rnacentral:rRNA from 1 species